rnacentral:misc_RNA from 1 species
AUGGCAGCCAGGGCACACGAUGUAGCGGCAUUGGCACUCAGAGGAAAGUCGGCUUGUCUUAACUUUGCUGACUCUGCUUGGAGGGCGUUGCCUGUGCCCGCUUCUCUAGAUGCUAGGGAGAUUAGGAGGGCUGCCAAGGAGGCUGCAGAGUUGUUUCCGACUCAAGAAUUUGAAGACGGUGAUCAGAUUACAGUACAAGGUAGUAACAUCGUGGAGGAUUCGAGUGAAGCUUGUAGUAAUG